UGAGGAAUAUUGCUCAAUGGGCGAAAGCCUGAAGCAGCAACGCCGCGUGCGCGAUGAAGGUCUUCGGAUCGUAAAGCGCUUUUGAGAGGGACGAGAUAGGACGGUACCUCUUGAAUAAGUCACGGCUAACUACGUGCCAGCAGCCGCGGUAAAACGUAGGUGGCAAGCGUUAUCCGGAUUCACUGGGCGUAAAGCGCGUGCAGGUGGCUUCGUAAGUUGGACGUUAAAUCUUUCGGCCUAACCGGGAGGUGUCGUUCAAUACUGCGGGGCUUGAGGGUAGAAGAGGGCGGUGGAAUUGCCGGUGUAGUGGUGAAAUGCGUAGAUAUCGGCAGGAACACCUGUGGCGAAAGCGGCCCCCUGGUCUGCUCCGGACACUCAGACGCGAAAGCUAGGGGAGUGAACG
rnacentral:rRNA from 1 species